CCUACGGGAGGCAGCAGUGGGGAAUAUUGCUCAAUGGGGGAAACCCUGAUGCAGCGACGCCGCGUGAGUGAAGAAGGAUUUCGGUAUGUAAAGCUCUAUCAACAGAGAAGAAAAUGACGGUACCUGAUUAAUAAGCUCCGGCUAACUACGUUCCAGCAGCCGCGGUAAUACGUAGGGGGCAAGCGUUAUCCGGAUUUACUGGGGGUAAAGGGGGCGUAGACGGCAGAACAAGUCUGGAGUGAAGUGCCGCGGCUUAACCUCGGAACUGCAUUGGAAACUGUGCAGCUAGAGUGCAGGAGAGGUAGGUGGAAUUCCUAGUGUAGCGGUGAAAUGCGUAGAGAUCAGGAGGAAGACCAGUGGCGAAGGCGGCUUACUGGAAUGUAACUGACGUUGAGGCUCGAAAGCGUGGGGAGCAAACAGGAUUAGAUACCCGAGUAGUC
rnacentral:rRNA from 1 species